rnacentral:rRNA from 1 species
AGGAGAGUUUGAUCCUGGCUCAGAACGAACGCUGGCGGCAGGCCUAAGUCAUGCAAGUUGAACGGCUGUAGCAAUACAGCAGUAGCGGACGGGUGAGUAAUGUAUGGGAACGUAUCUUCUAGUGGGGAAUAUUCUUUGGAAACGAAGAGCAAUACCGCAUAAGUCCUACGGGAGAAAGUCUUUAAGACGCUAGAUGAGCGGCCCAUAUUGGAUUAGCUAGUUGGUUGGGUAAUGGCUGACCAAGGCAACGAUCCAUAGCUGGUCUAAGAGGACGAUCAGCCACAUUGGGACUGAGACACGGCCCAGACUCCUACGGGAGGCAGCAGUCAGGAAUAUUGGACAAUGGGGGCAACCCUGAUCCAGCCAUGCCGCGUGAGUGUUAAGGUCUUCGGAUUGUAAAGCUCUUUUGUGUGGGAAAAUGAUGAUGGUACCACAAGAAUAAGCACCGGCUAACUUCGUGCCAGCAGCCGCGGUAAUACGAAGGGUGCAAGCGUUGUUCGGAAUUACUGGGCGUAAAGGGCGUGUAGGCGGACAGAUUAGUUGGGAGUGAAAUCCCGGGGCUCAACUCCGGAACUGCUUUCAAAACGGUUUGUCUAGAGUGUAGUAGGGGACAAUGGAAUACCCAGUGGAGAGGUUAAAUUCGUAGAGAUUGGGUAGAACACCAGAGGCGAAGGCGAUUGUCUGGACUAUUACUGACGCUGAGGCGCGAAAGCGUGGGGAUCAAACAGGAUUAGAUACCCUGGUAGUCCCCU